AAAAUCCAUUGAAACGAACUAAAACUCCGCCGUCCGCCCGUCCCCGCCCUUUUCCUUCUCUUCUCCCACUCUCACUAUACCCAUUUCUCGAGAUCUCGGCGAAACCCUAGUGAAACCCCCGCCGUGGGGGCACCAAGACGCCGCAAUGCUGCACGAGCUCCUCCUCGCGCUGCUCGGCUUCACCGGCGACUUCGUCCUCGACGUCUCUCUGCCGCGGCGCCGCGCCGCCUCCCAGGACGCCGGCGAGGAUGGAAACGGAGACGGUGAGGUGGGCCCCUCCUUCCGCCUCGCGCCGGACCUCACCUUCCUCCAGCCAUCAGAGAGGACUGCUAUUGAGAGGCUCAUAUCUCUGGGAUUUUACUACAGAGAACUGAAUCGCUUUGCAACCGAGUCCCGCGACCUGAGCUGGAUUCAGUCUUCUAUAGAUGUUUCAUCACCUCAUUCUGAUAAUACCCAGAAGGGGAAAGUGAGAAAAGGGAGUGUGUACAGGAGGGCAAUUGCCAAUGGUAUCACUGAGAUUCUGUCAGUAUACAGAUCAGCUGUUCUGCAGGUUGAGCAAAACCUUUUAUCAGAUCCGUUGCCUAUCCUCGCGACAGUAACUCACGGGUUGAACAAGUUUGAAGUCCUUCUGCCUCCACUGUAUGAGCUUGUUAUGGAAAUCCAGCAUAAAGACAUCAAGGGUGGCCAGCUUCUUAAUCUUUUGCACAAACGGUGCCAUUGUGGGGUUCCAGAACUGCAAAGCUGCAUUCAGAGGCUACUUUGGCAUGGACACCAGGUCAUGUUCAACCAGCUGACAUCUUGGAUGGUUUAUGGGAUUCUUCAAGAUCAGUACAGCGAGUUUUUCAUUAGAAGGCAAGAUGACAGGGAUGUGGAGAAUGAAUCAUCUCAGCGUGAUGUUUCUGAUAAGUUAAAGCAGAAAUUAGCUAAAGACACAUCCCUGGCUAGUUGGCAUACGGGAUUUCAUGUAUCAUUGGACAUGUUGCCUGAGUAUAUCCACAUGCGAAUUGCAGAGUCCAUUCUCUUCGCUGGCAAAGCAAUAAGGGUGCUUCGAAAUCCAAGUCCUAGUGCUACAUUGCAGGAUCCUGUAAUCAGAACUGUAGGAUCUCAUGGAAUGCAAAGCUCUGUAGGAGGUUCUGGUGUACCAAAAGAACUGGCAAACUUCUCUAACAUCAGAGCAGAAGAACUACUGCCACAAGCAGAAGCUGAUAAAAUUGAUUCUAUGCUCAAGGAGCUAAAGCAUUCUUCUGAAUUUCACAAACGACCUUUUGAGUCUGCUGUCGGCUCAAUACGUACAAUUGCAGCUAAUCAUCUCUGGCAGCUAGUGGUGGUACGUGCUGAUCUCAACGGUCAUUUGAAGGCAUUGAAAGAUUAUUUUCUUUUAGCAAAAGGUGACUUUUUCCAGUGUUUUCUUGAGGAAAGCCGCCAAUUAAUGCGGUUACCACCUCGUCAAUCUACAGCCGAAGCAGAUCUCAUGAUUCCAUUUCAGCUGGCUGCACUGAAGACUAUCGGUGAGGAAGACAAGUACUUUACCAGAGUCUCAUUAAGGAUGCUAUCAUAUGGUAUGAAAAGUAGCACGUCUCAGAAAGAUCUCCAAAAGCCUAAUGCUUCAGAGCUUCCUUCACAAGGAAAAGCUGCAUCAGAAUUGACACUUGAUGGGUGGGAUAGUAUUGCUCUGGAAUAUUCUAUUGACUGGCCUCUGCAGCUCUUCUUCACUCCUGAUGUUCUGUCCAAGUAUCGCAAGGUUUUUCAGUAUCUCAUCCGAUUGAAGAGGACACAAAUGGAACUUGAGAAAUCCUGGGCAGCUGUAAUGCAUAAAGACCAUGCUGAUUUUUCUGAUUAUUGCAAGGAUCGGAAAAAUAACUCUGCAACACAACUGCGUCGACAACGGUCUAAGCCUUUGUGGCGAGUAAGGGAGCAUAUGGCAUUCUUGAUCAGAAACCUACAAUUUUACAUCCAGGUUGAUGUAAUUGAGUCACAGUGGAAUGUUUUACAAUCUCACGUGCAAGAUUCACAUGAUUUUACAGAGCUAGUGAGCUUUCAUCAAGAGUAAGCAACAAAUAUUUGUCAGCGCUGGUUUCCCAAUCCUUCUUGGACAUCGGAUCAGUCUCUAGGAUACUGGAUAGCAUAAUGAAGCUUUGCUUGCAGUUCUGCUGGAGCAUAGAGCAAUAUGAAACUCGGCCAAAUAUUUCUGAGAUUGAUCACAUAACUGAGGAGUUCAACAAGAAGUCCAAUUCGCUGUACACUAUCUUGAGGAGUAGUCGCCUCGCGGGUAGUCAGAGAGCACCUUUCCUGAGGCAAUUUCUGAUGAGGCUAAAUUUUAACUCUUUCUUUGAGACCACCGCAAGGGGAGUGAUGAAUUCAGGAAGGCUGCGACCAAUCACUGCAGGUGCUCAGCUGUAACGGUGAUGGUAUGUUUGGGGGUAGUGCUGCAGCAAGAGACAAGGGAGGAGUUUCUGUAGUUUAUGUAAAUUAUGAUCGGAUGGUGGUUGUCUGUCAUGGAAAAAUCGAUUGCAGGUGAUUCAUGCUUGUGCCGUUGGUAUUGUGUUUUUCUGUGCUUCCGUUUGUUAAUGCUAUCCAGUUCCUGUGGCCUGAA